GCAGUAUAGGGUGUGAAAAGAAUGAGUGGUAAUGCAUUGUAGAGUUAGAGAGGGAAUAAGUGGUAAUGUGUUGUAGAGUUAGAGAGGGAAUAAAUGGUAAUGUGUUGUAGAGUUAGAGAGGGAAUGAGUGGUAAUGUGUUGUAGAGUAAGAGAGGGAAAGAGUGGGAAUGCGUUGUAGAGUUAGAGAGGGAAUGAGUAGGAAUGCGUUGUAGAGUUAGAGAGAGAAUGAGUGGUAAGGCGUUGUAGAGUUAGAGAGGAAUGAGUGGUAAUGCAUUGUAGAGUUAGAGAGGGAAUAAGUGGUAAUGCGUUGUAGAGAUAGAGAGAGAAUGAGUGGUAAGGCAUUGUAGAGUUAGAGAGGAAUUAAUUAUAAUGCGUUGUAGAGUUAGAGAGUUAAUAAGUGGGAAUGCAUUGAUGAGUUAGAGAGGGAAUGAGUGGAAAUGCGUUGUAGAGUUAGAGAGGAAUGAAUGGUAAUGCGUUGUAGAGUUAGAGAGGGAAUGA